CCUACGGGAGGCAGCAGUAGGGAAUCUUCCACAAUGGGCGAAAGCCUGAUGGAGCAACGCCGCGUGGGUGAAGAAGGUCUUCGGAUCGUAAAACCCUGUUGUUAGAGAAGAAAGUGCGUGAGAGCAACUGUUCACGUUUCGACGGUAUCUAACCAGAAAGCCACGGCUAACUACGUGCCAGCAGCCGCGGUAAUACGUAGGUGGCAAGCGUUAUCCGGAUUGAUCGGGCGUAAAGGGAACGCAGGCGGUCUUUUAAGUCUGAUGUGAAAGCCUUCGGCUUAACCGGGGUAGUGCAUUGGAAACUGGGAGGCUUGAGUGCAGAAGGGGAAGGUGGAACUCCAUGUGUAGCGGUGAAAUGCGUAGAUAUAUGGAAGAACACCAGUGGCGAAGGCGGCUCGCUGGUCUGUAACUGACGCUGAGGUUCGAAAGCGUGGGUAGCAAACAGGAUUAGAUACCCGGGUAGUC
rnacentral:rRNA from 1 species